CGCCCGGCCCCAGUCCUGGCCCCUUGCCGCCCUCCGCGUCCGGCCGGAGCUCGGAGGUGAACUGAAUAUAUUAGUAUCCACAUUUCCAACAAGACCUCAUUUUGAUCUCUGUACAUUUAGACAUUCCAUGGCAAGGGUCCACCUCCUCUUUCUACAGUGAGCCACGGCAGUCCAUGGCACGAUAUCAUCAGUGAACAGAGACAGAGGUUGUACACCAGCAAAACCACUAAGUGUUC